GUCCCGGUUCGCGAGUCCCCGAUGUGGUUGCGAUCUUCCUGACAUCAGAGCAUCCAGUCCUACCGCUGGCCUGCGGCAGCCGCCACCUAGACAGGGCUGCAGAUAGAGAAAGAGCUACAUGCUAGGCGCGUGCUCACCCGCAGCCCAGUCAAGUCUGAUGGUGGCAGCAGAGAAAAGAGGUGCUUGUGGAAACAGCAGAACGUCAAGGAUUGGUGGAAGUCACCAGAAUCCAGCAGAGAGGACCUUAACAGCCACGUUGUUUAUACUUGCAACUUCCUACAAGAACUUAGAAGAGACUGCCUGCUGAACCUGCUUUGCAACAUUAUCCAGCUGAAACAAAGGAUGGGAUUGAAUGGGCUUCCCCUAUAUAACUGCAGUGCUGAAUAUUAAGCUUUGAGCCUUGAUCAGA